CCAAUAGCGUAUAUUAAAGUUGUUGCAGUUAAAAAGCUCGUAGUUGAAUUUUGGAUUCUGCGAUUUGGUCCAUCUUUUAGAUGAGUACUGAAUGUGUGGGGUCUAUCCGCCUGAUAAUACGUAAUGUUCUUUAUUGAAUGUUACGGGUAGUCAGGACUUUUACCUUGAAAAAAUUAGAGUGUUUAAAGCAGGCUUAUGCCGGAAUACAUUAGCAUGGAAUAAUAGAAUAGGACGAAGUUGUUUUAUUUUGUUGGUUUUUAGGACAACCGUAAUGAUUAAUAGGGAUAGUUGGGGGCAUUAGUAUUCAAUUGUCAGAGGUGAAAUUCUUGGAUUUAUUGAAGACUAACUACUGCGAAAGCAUUUGCCAAGGAUGUUUUCAUUAAUCAAGAACGAAAGUUAGGGGAUCGAAGACGAUCAGAUACCGUCGUAGUCUUAACCAUAAACUAUGCCGACUAGGGAUCGGGCGAUGUUGUUUCCAUGACUCGCUCGGCACCUUAUG
rnacentral:rRNA from 1 species